rnacentral:rRNA from 1 species
GACGAACGCUGGCGGCGUGCUUAACACAUGCAAGUCGAACGGAAAGGCCCUGCUUUUGUGGGGUGCUCGAGUGGCGAACGGGUGAGUAACACGUGAGUAACCUGCCCUUGACUUUGGGAUAACUUCAGGAAACUGGGGCUAAUACCGGAUAGGAGCUCCUGCUGCAUGGUGGGGGUUGGAAAGUUUCGGCGGUUGGGGAUGGAGUCGGGGUUUAGCAGUUUGUUGGUGGGGUAGUGGCUUACCAAGGCUUGGACGGGUAGCCGGCCUGAGAGGGUGACCGGGAACAGGGGAAUAGGGAAAGGACCAGGGGGCAAAAGGGGGGAAGGGGUGGGAGAUUGGGCAAAAGGGGCGGAGUGUGGGAGGAAGAACGGCGGGUGGGGAAGGACGGCCUGGGGGGUGGAAACGCAUUAAGCGUGUAACGAGGUGUGGGGGAGGGAAAAGGGGAAAAAAACCCGGCUAAAUUAGGG